GACGAACGCUGGCGGCGUGCUUAACACAUGCAAGUCGAACGGAAAGGCCCUGCUUUUGUGGGGUGCUCGAGUGGCGAACGGGUGAGUAACACGUGAGUAACCUGCCCUUGACUUUGGGAUAACUUCAGGAAACUGGGGCUAAUACCGGAUAGGAGCUCCUGCUGCAUGGUGGGGGUUGGAAAGUUUCGGCGGUUGGGGAUGGACUCGCGGCUUAUCAGCUUGUUGGUGGGGUAGUGGCUUACCAAGGCUUUGACGGGUAGCCGGCCUGGGAGGGUGAGCGGCCACAUUGGGACUGGGAUACGGCCCAGAGUCGUACGGGAGGCAGCAGUAGGGAAUAUUGCACAAUGGGGGGAAGCCUGAUGCAGCGGCGCGGCGUGCUGGAUGUUGGCCUUCGGUUUGGAAACCGCUUUCGCCUGUGACGUAGUGGUAGUGACGGUAAUGGGUAAAGAAGCACCGGCUAACUACGUG
rnacentral:rRNA from 1 species